GGUGGGUGGCAGUGGCUGCUUUGGUGGGGUGUGGAGGUGGCUGUAAUCCAGACACCUGGCAUCUUGGGAAUCUGAGGAGCGUGUCAUGGACCACUCACACCAUCCCCAUGUCCCUGACCUUUCCCAAAGUUCCUGCUGACUCUCACCCCUUUAGGAGCCCUCUUGCCUUUAUUUAAGCCCAUCACUCCAACUACACACACCUUGUGACUGGUGCCUGUGGCCUCGCAGUGACCCUCACGAUGGCUGAGUAUCGGGUCAGCAGGGCUCUGAUGGUGUCAGGCACACUCUUCCAGUGAUCAUUUGCCAGUGAAGGCUCAGUGGUCCCCAUUUCCCUCAGCUGUGCCUCACAUCCCCUUCUACUUUUCCAAGUGCCCAUUUGCAUUGUUUGGCAGUGGUGGUUUUCUCACCCUCUUUGCCUGCAACAGACCGCAGAGUCAGUCAAGCUGUCCCUCUGCCUGAUGGUUCAUUCCAGGCCUCAUUUGUUCUUCUGACAGACACUGCCUCUCAUCACAAAUGAAUCUUUUGACACCCAGAGAGGGAAAGACUUCGUCAAGUCACAAGGCCGAGAACAGCUUGCCAAAGGAGUGUGACCACACAAGGCAGACACCCUAGGGAACAGACAGGGAACUCAUCAGGCAUGCCCUUCCAUCAGCAGACUGGAUUCUCAUGACUUCCUUCUUUUUCAUCAGCUUUAUCUGCUUAGUUUUCAAACUGUUCCUGGAUGAGACACAGAGAAGGACGGGUGGCAGCUGAGCUCCUGACAAUGACACAACAGUUUCCAACCACUAGGUACUUUACCUCCAACAUGGGACACGACAACCAGCAAUGGUUCUUCCUGGCACAGAGGGACAUUCAGCUUGAAAUAGUCCACAUACCGGUGUGGCACAUCUUGGAGCAGCCUGCCCUGAACCCCAUCAAUAGGAACCAAUCAUAUAAAAGAUCCAAGAAGAAGCUGAAUGAGAAACAUGUCAGAUUUGUGGGAGAAAAAACUAUGAAACAACAAAAAAGUGUAUAAAAUAGUACAAAAUAAAAUGAGUAUUAUUCCUAGGUAACUAGGAAGAGAAUGUUA
rnacentral:lncRNA from 1 species